UACGAAGGGGGCUAGCGUUGCUCGGAAUCACUGGGCGUAAAGCGCACGUAGGCGGAUCUUUAAGUCAGGGGUGAAAUCCUGGAGCUCAACUCCAGAACUGCCUUUGAUACUGGGGAUCUCGAGUCCGGGAGAGGUGAGUGGAACUGCGAGUGUAGAGGUGAAAUUCGUAGAUAUUCGCAAGAACACCAGUGGCGAAGGCGGCUCACUGGCCCGGUACUGACGCUGAGGUGCGAAAGCGUGGGUAGCGAACAGG
rnacentral:rRNA from 1 species